UCGACGGUGAGGGGUGAAAGCUGGGGGAGCAAACCGGAUUAGAUACCCGGGUAGUCCCAGCUGUAAACUAUGCAAACUCAGUGAUGCAUUGGCUUGUGGCCAAUGCAGUGCUGCAGGGAAGCCGUUAAGUUUGCCGCCUGGGAAGUACGUACGCAAGUAUGAAACUUAAAGGAAUUGGCGGGGGAGCACCACAAGGGGUGAAGCCUGCGGUUCAAUUGGAGUCAACGCCAGAAAUCUUACCCGGAGAGACAGCAGAAUGAAGGUCAAGCUGAAGACUUUACCAGACAAGCUGAGAGGUGGUGCAUGGCCGUCGCCAGCUCGUGCCGUGAGAUGUCCUGUUAAGUCAGGUAACGAGCGAGAUCCCUGCCUCUAGUUGCCACCAUUACUCUCAGGAGUAGUGGGGCGAAUUAGCGGGACCGCCGCAGUUAAUGCGGAGGAAGGAAGGGGCCACGGCAGGUCAGUAUGCCCCGAAACUCUGGGGCCACACGCGGGCUGCAAUGGUAGCGACAAUUGGUUUCGAAUCCGAAAGGAUGAGGUAAUCCACAAACGCUACCACAGUUAUGACUGAGGGCUGCAACUCGCCCUCACGAAUAUGGAAUCCCUAGUAACUGCGUGUCAUUAUCGCGCGGUGAAUACGUCCCUGCUCCUUGCACUCACCGCCCGU
rnacentral:rRNA from 1 species